CUGGCAACAAGCUUUGAUCCGGCAAUGUCCGAAUGGGGAAACCCACCGCUUCGGCGGUAUUGCAUGGUGAAUACAUAGCCAUGCAAGGCGAACCCGGUGAACUGAAAUAUCUAAGUAACCGGAGGAAAAGAAAUCAACCGAGAUUCCCUGAGUAGCGACGAGCGAACGGGGAACAGCCCUUAAGCUGGUAUGGUUCUAGAAAAACGGUCUGGAAAGGCCGGCCAUAGAAGGUGAUAGCCCUGUAUUUGAAAGGGCCAUUCCAGUGAAGACGAGUAGGGCGGGGCACGUGAAACCCUGUCUGAACAUGGGGGGACCAUCCUCCAAGGCUAAAUACUACUGACCGACCGAUAGUGAACCAGUACCGUGAGGGAAAGGCGAAAAGAACCCCGGAGAGGGGAGUGAAAUAGAACCUGAAACCGUGUGCGUACAAGCAGUAGGAGCUCGAAAGAGUGACUGCGUACCUUUUGUAUAAUGGGUCAGCGACUU
rnacentral:rRNA from 1 species